rnacentral:rRNA from 1 species
CCUUAGAGUUUGAUCCUGGCUCAGGAUGAACGCUAGCUACAGGCUUAACACAUGCAAGUCGAGGGGAAACGAUAGAGAAAGCUUGCUUUUUCUAGGCGUCGACCGGCGCACGGGUGAGUAACGCGUAUCCAACCUGCCCACCACUUGGGAAUAACCUUGCGAAAGUAAGACUAAUACCCAAUGAUAUCUCUAGAAGACAUCUGAAAGAGAUUAAAGAUUUAUCGGUGAUGGAUGGGGAUGCGUCUGAUUAGCUUGUUGGCGGGGUAACGGCCCACCAAGGCGACGAUCAGUAGGGGUUCUGAGAGGAAGGUCCCCCACAUUGGAACUGAGACACGGUCCAAACUCCUACGGGAGGCAGCAGUGAGGAAUAUUGGUCAAUGGGCGAGAGCCUGAACCAGCCAAGUAGCGUGCAGGAUGACGGCCCUAUGGGUUGUAAACUGCUUUUAUAAGGGAAUAAAGUGAGUCUCGUGAGACUUUUUGCAUGUACCUUAUGAAUAAGGACCGGCUAAUUCCGUGCCAGCAGCCGCGGUAAUACGGAAGGUCCGGGCGUUAUCCGGAUUUAUUGGGUUUAAAGGGAGCGUAGGCCGGAGAUUAAGCGUGUUGUGAAAUGUAGAUGCUCAACAUCUGCACUGCAGCGCGAACUGGUUUCCUUGAGUACGCACAAAGUGGGCGGAAUUCGUGGUGUAGCGGUGAAAUGCUUAGAUAUCACGAAGAACUCCGAUUGCGAAGGCAGCUCACUGGAGCGCAACUGACGCUGAAGCUCGAAAGUGCGGGUAUCGAACAGGAUUAGAUACCCUGGUAGUCCGCACGGUAAACGAUGGAUGCCCGCUGUUGGUCUGAAUAGGUCAGCGGCCAAGCGAAAGCAUUAAGCAUCCCACCUGGGGAGUACGCCGGCAACGGUGAA